ACGAACGCUGGCGGCGUGCCUAAUACAUGCAAGUCGAACGCUUCUUUUUCCACCGGAGCUUGCUCCACCGGAAAAAGAGGAGUGGCGAACGGGUGAGUAACACGUGGGUAACCUGCCCAUCAGAAGGGGAUAACACUUGGAAACAGGUGCUAAUACCGUAUAACAAUCGAAACCGCAUGGUUUUGAUUUGAAAGGCGCUUUCGGGUGUCGCUGAUGGAUGGACCCGCGGUGCAUUAGCUAGUUGGUGAGGUAACGGCUCACCAAGGCCACGAUGCAUAGCCGACCUGAGAGGGUGAUCGGCCACAUUGGGACUGAGACACGGCCCAAACUCCUACGGGAGGCAGCAGUAGGGAAUCUUCGGCAAUGGACGAAAGUCUGACCGAGCAACGCCGCGUGAGUGAAGAAGGUUUUCGGAUCGUAAAACUCUGUUGUUAGAGAAGAACAAGGAUGAGAGUAACUGUUCAUCCCUUGACGGUAUCUAACCAGAAAGCCACGGCUAACUACGUGCCAGCAGCCGCGGUAAUACGUAGGUGGCAAGCGUUGUCCGGAUUUAUUGGGCGUAAAGCGAGCGCAGGCGGUUUCUUAAGUCUGAUGUGAAAGCCCCCGGCUCAACCGGGGAGGGUCAUUGGAAACUGGGAGACUUGAGUGCAGAAGAGGAGAGUGGAAUUCCAUGUGUAGCGGUGAAAUGCGUAGAUAUAUGGAGGAACACCAGUGGCGAAGGCGGCUCUCUGGUCUGUAACUGACGCUGAGGCUCGAAAGC
rnacentral:rRNA from 1 species